GCCCGGACGGGGCUUGCGCCGGUGCCCGCUUCGGGCAGCACGGCCGGGAGGAGCUCCAGGUACGCUGAUGGGGCGAACUGAAGAGACCCCCGAGGCUUCAAGUCGACCCUCCAGGAGGGUGAGAACAGCACAGGAACAUGGUGUGGGGAUCUGCAGAUGCCUUCCACAGGGAGGGGCAGAGAGAAGAGAGGAUAAUAAAUUUGAGGUCAGUCUCUACCUUGGACUGUCCAGGUCUCCACAGUCGCCUGCCCUUUUACCUAGCGAUGUUCAGUCUCCAGCCCACUGCCCAGGGACCUGGAUGGAAUCCUCCCAGGAUCCCUUUGAGUCCCCUCAGCCACGAUGCUCCCUAACUAGAGCAUAAGCUGCCUCCACAGCCUGGCAGACACCCUUCAGAGUUCCCUGUGGACAGAGGAGAAGGUAGCAGACGCCCCACAUAGUCAGCAGUUCUCUGGCAACCUGACAUGGCCACUCCCUCAGCCCACUUCAUGGCACACUAUGCUCAUGUUCAGUUCUGAGUGUGCACCCAUUUUACACACAUUCUAUGUGCUCGCAAAUCUUGUAUACAUGUACACAAACCCACCUUAGUGUUGGCACACAUAUGCAUUUCAUGUCACACUCCUAUGUCAGCAUGUGAACAGAACAUGCAAAGGUGCUUAGACAUGUACAAAGCCUAGACCAUCACUCCGAAACCUGUUGGAGCCCCCCCAGCACUCCCUCCUGCCCCCCACACUGCCAGUCUGGCAGCGGGCCUAGGUCUCCCAACCUCCAAAUG